AAGUGGAGCCUAAUAACAUGGACUUAUAUUUUAAUAAAAAGUUUUCUUUUGUGUUUUAAUUAUAAUUUUAAGGCACAUUUUUAUUGGUAAAGACUAAAAAAGGUAAUUUGAUAAUAUUAUUGCGAACGUCACAUCUUUUUCGUCCAUUGUGGUAUGUUACAAUCGCAAUUUUCUUGUUGGUUCUCAGACGGCCCAUUGUUAUUUUUAACUCGGGUUUUAUAAAUAAUUGAUAUAAAUAGCAAUCACAUUAAAUUUUGAUGACGAAAGGGGGUCAAAGGACUUUCGGAAUCAAUAUCAUUGGCUGUUUUAGUUUUUGCGAACGUUACUGCUCUACGUUUCCGUCCAAAUCAAUGUCACGUGAGCAAUAUAUAUUUAGAUCUGUAACUCUCCUGUAUAGGAGUUACGAUAUCGCCCUUUGCAGAAAUGGAUGCGGAGCCGGUUUCCUCACAUAAUGGGAAAGCAAAGAAGAUGAAGUCCUCCAGAACUAACACCUCCAGAACUAACAGAGACGAUAAAUUUUUCAAACAUUAAAAUAUUUUUAAGCUUCUAGGCAGUAUUUUAGACUUUUGAAUGCAAAUGCAUCAUGAAUUAAAUGGGCAAAGCAAGGUGUUCUGAAGACUACAAAAGACUUUCUUCACCACAAUCCAUGGUGAAAGUCAUUGAGGCAUUGAUCACUAUGGUAUUUCCAUCUUCACUGCGAAUUGAUUUGAAAUUGUUCAUUCUUCUGUUGUUUGAUUUUAACUUGCCAGACAUUACAUGGGCAUUUUGGCUUGUGCUUCAUAAAUAAUCCAUAUCCCCCUUUCUGUUUUGAGUGCCAAAGGUUGCAGGUUCAAUCCCCAGCCAGAUAAAAUAAGACAUUAAAAUUGGUCUUUGCUGCUUCUCAUCCAAGCCGACAGCAUUUAGGAGCAAAAGCAAGGUCAGCUUACAGAGGCAACAGAGUGUGUAUAAUGUGUCUUUGUGGAAAAUCCUGCUAAGCGUGUCGGUCUAGUACAAAGCAGAGAUCAUAUUACAUCAACUUGUUCUCGUCCUGAUGUGCACAUACUAGUUUGACACUGGACCUUAAACAAUAAUUAAUCCAUCCAUCCAUAAAAUCUGGUGUGUCAGUCUGGUACAAAGAACAGUUCUUAUUGCAUUUGGUACUCAUAUCAUAUCAACAUCUCAGUUCAGGACUAAAGAUAUGAACAGAUCUAGAAGAAUCAUUCAGUUACAUCUUAAAACUUUUUCGAUAAAGAUAUCAUGAAUCUUA